GAGUUUGAUCCUGGCUCAGGAUGAACGCUAGCGGCAGGCUUAACACAUGCAAGUCGAGGGGUAGGGUUCUUCGGAACCUGAGACCGGCGCACGGGUGCGUAACGCGUAUGCAAUCUGCCUUUCACAGAGGGAUAGCCCAGAGAAAUUUGGAUUAAUACCUCAUAGUAUUACGAUAAGGCAUCUUAUUGUAAUUAAAGCCACAGCGGUGAAAGAUGAGCAUGCGUCCCAUUAGUUAGUUGGUAAGGUAACGGCUUACCAAGACUUCGAUGGGUAGGGGUCCUGAGAGGGAGAUCCCCCACACUGGUACUGAGACACGGACCAGACUCCUACGGGAGGCAGCAGUGAGGAAUAUUGGUCAAUGGGCGCAAGCCUGAACCAGCCAUGCCGCGUGCAGGAUGACGGUCCUAUGGAUUGUAAACUGCUUUUGUACAGGAAGAAACACUCCCUCGUGAGGGAGCUUGACGGUACUGUAAGAAUAAGGAUCGGCUAACUCCGUGCCAGCAGCCGCGGU
rnacentral:rRNA from 1 species